CUGCUGCCUUCCGUAGGAGUCUGGCCGUGUCUCAGUCCCAAUGUGGCCGUCCACUCUCUCAAGCCGGCUACUGAUCGCUGCCUUGGUGGGCCGUUACCCCGCCAACUAGCUAAUCAGACGCGGGCCCAUCCUGUACCACCGGAGUUUUCCCCGCAGCGCCAUGCGGCGCCGCGGGCUUAUGCGGUAUUAGCAGCCGUUUCCGGCCGUUGUCCCCCUGUACAGGGCAGGUUACCCACGCGUUACUCACCCGUCCGCCACUGGG
rnacentral:rRNA from 1 species